UACAGAGGGGGCAAGCGUUAUUCGGAAUUAUUGGGCGUAAAGGGCUCGUAGGCGGCCAACUAAGUCGGACGUGAAAUCCCCAGGCUCAACCUGGGAACUGCGUCCGAUACUGGAUGGCUUGAAUCCGGGAGAGGGAUGCAGAAUUCCAGGUGUAGCGGUGAAAUGCGUAGAUAUCUGGAGGAAUACCGGUGGCGAAGGCGGCAUCCUGGACCGGCAUUGACGCUGAGGAGCGAAAGCCAGGGGAGCAAACGGG
rnacentral:rRNA from 1 species